AAACAAUAGCAUGAGAUUUAGAGACUGAGAGUAGCAUGAGACAAACUGGAAACACAAGACUUAUCAUCAGCUGCCAAGGACCACAGCCCUUUUUAAAGCACUUGGCAUCUAGCAAAGCCCUGGAAAUAAAAUCACAAUUCAUUUUAUUAGGUUUUUUU
rnacentral:lncRNA from 11 species